CUCAAACCACUCUUUCCUGUAAAGAACCUACAGUAUUGGAUAGAAAACCCCAGAAAUCGGACGACCCCCUAAGUGGACCACUUGUCAAUGUUCUGAAGGGGCCAAGUCACUUUUAACAGGAAUAGACCUCCAACUGAACUAGACUCAGGGAGGGGCAGCCAUCUGCCAUUACCGGUUUUGGGCCAAAGGCAUAGAGGAGAUUCAAAAGGGGAGACCAUUAUUUUUUUAUUUAUAUAUAUAUAUAUACACACACAGUUUGAUUUUGUUUAUAUCUGCAACAAACUUGCAUCCAAUUGGGUGGAGUUUCAACCACACAAAAUAGGUGCUGCACCUUCAGGGAGUCCAAUUAUUAUACUCUGUGUUGGAGUGCUUUAUAGGCUGCUUCCACUAAUGAGUUAAAAGGAGAAAUGGGGUGGCUGUAACGCAGGAGGUAGAGCAGAUCAUCUACUCUAAUCUGAAAGUUGGUGGUUCAGGCCUUGGCUGCAAAUAUGCCAAAUAUCCUUGGGCAAGAUGCUAACGCCUAGUUGUUCUCAUCGAAUCAUGAAUUUGUGUGAACGUUAGAAAGCACUUACAUAGAAAAAGCUGGCCAUCCAGUGCUUGUAUGAAUGAGUGAAUGAGACAAGAUGUAUAAAGCGCUUCGAGUGCUCAGGUAGAGUAGAAAAGAACCAGUUCAUUUACCAAAAGUGUAGGGGCAGAGCUGGAACUGGGCUUAAAUGCACAAAGAGAAGCAAGGACAAGGUUAAACUGUUCAGGGGCGACUCUUGACUUUAACUUGACACUGUGGUGAAUUUUAGAAUUUAGAUAAACUAACAAAUGCUCAGAACUGGAAAUAUCACAGCUGAUUUUCAUUUCAACCAUACAGCCUCCACUUUAGCUCCUUGCCCAUCGCCAUCUUGAUAUAUAUACAUAUAUAUAUAUUAAAAAAAAAUUCCCCUUCGGGCAGUCUUUAUCCUUCAAGCUCAGGUCCUCUACCAGAGGCCUGAGAGCUUGAGGGUCAUGGACAGUAUCCUUGCUGUUCCUAGGACUGCGCUGUUCUGGAAAGAUGCCACGGCGUCACUGCACCUAGUGCUCCGAUUACCACUGGGACCACUAUUACCUUCAGCCGCCACAUCUUCCUGAGCUGUUCUCUGAGCCCUUGGUACUUCACCAGCUUCUCAUGUUGCUUCUUCCUGAUGUUGCUGUCAUUCGUUAUUGCCACGUUCCCCACUACUCUGUCUGGUUGGCUAGCCAUCACCAGUUUCUCUGUUCUUAUCUGGUUCUCAGAGGAUCUUAGCUUGAUCAUUCUCAACCAUCCUAGGGGGCGUCUCCCAUUUUGACCUUGGGAUGUCCAGCCCAUACUCGCCACAGAUGUUUCUGUAUACAAGAUGGCCACUUGGUUACGGUGUUCCAUGUAUGCCCUACCUGCUAGCAUCUUGCAACCCUCUGUUAUGUGGAGGGUGCAACAUAUAAAGGGAAACUGUGAUGAUGAAUACACAGAAGGGUAAUCAGGGCAGAGUGGAGACACCUUAAAAGCAAAACUAAAUACAAGGCACUAGAAACAUAAACGUACUGUAGCUUAAGUAAAACAGGCAGUGUCCUCCUGUGGAAAGUCACAGGAGGACAAAAGGAAACACAGAGCAGAAUAUAAUUUAAUCCUGGCCAUUGCUAUCCUUAUAUAUUUAUAUACUUUUUGGAACACAUUUAGACAAGUGCAUGGAUUGCUAGAUCACCAGUUAACACAUUUGCAUAAGCACUAAACACGGUUUGUUCAUAAAACUGACCUGACCUCCAUCUGUCACUAUGCUUCACCAAUAUCAUCCCCAGCCUAUUUAUUUGUGAAUGCAACUCUGAAAAGAUUUUACAUUUAAAACAAAAAAUUUAAUUAAAUUAAAGGUGAGGAAAAAUACAAUUGAAAAGGUCAGUACCCAGAAAAGUGGAAAGAUAAAAAAAAAAAAACCCCAAAAAAACAGGAUCCUCUGUUACCAUGGCAACCAGCCUGCAUGACACCACCCCAUAGUCAGAACUGUUCAGGUCUCAUAAUCAGUCAGGCUUCCGUGUGCACUGAAACUCUGACUAUUACUUACCACAAUAAAACAAAAUUGCAACAUUGCUGUCAUUGUUGCACCAAUCGAAGGCUUUUAUUUUGAAAUGUAAUGUCUGAGUGAAGACAAUCGCAGAGGAGCAUUGAUAAUUUGAUAAAGUCACUGCAGUCAUGUGUGUGCUGCCCUUAAAAGAUUUCAGAUCACACCACACCAGACUCAACAGGCCGCACAUGCCAUUUGGCAGAGCAUUAAUAAUCAAUCACUGUGGUAGAUCAAUAUCAGUAAUGCCUGUCUGUUCUCCAGAGUGUGUGUGUGUGGCCAUGGUGUAAUUGAUCCAGCCAGAAUCCAUAAUUAGAUUCUGUUUUGCUCCUGAUUAAUAGGUAUUGACUUGGUUAGAGUUGUACCCAAUCAAUAGGUGUGUGUUUAUAUCUCAAACUGUGUAAUUCUGAGGACCGAGUUUUGGGACAUUUGUUGAAGUUGAGGGAAUUUUGACAGCUCUGAUGAGGGUUAAUGUUGAUUUUAGGGUUUAGAGUAAAACCUGGUUGGUUUUUGAAUUUGAAGUGGCAUUUAGUUAUCAUAAUCACACGAAGAGUGUCCUCACAAAGCUAGAGAUACAGACAUGUGCCGGUCCAGGAGAUAGAGAGACUGAGAUAUAGAGAAACAAGCAGAGCGUUAUUGAAGAGGAUAUAUGUUCUAAAUGGGCAUGCAGUGAUACACUGUGGGGUAUAAAAAUAGAAAUCAAGCAGUGGUAAGGACGGUACGAGACGUGUGAUUCAUCUUAUGCAUUAUUCACUCACACGACCACUGACCAGCUGCAGGUUUGACUGUGAAUUGCUUGAGGCAGCCGCAGCCUCCAGUCCACUUUAAUAACCCUGGUCGAAUGUGAAUCAGCCUUGUCUCAAGCAGCAACCUCCGAGGCUAAUAAAAUUACACAAAGUGCUAAAAAAUGCAGUUCCUCCGACAGCCACUUGAGGCUGAAUCCAAAGAUAGACUUCUAUGUUAAAAACACUACAGCAUUAAAAAGCUGGUUUACAGCCCAGAAUGAAAAAAAUGGGUUUGUAAUGAUUCUUAACAAGAGUAUAGAGGGUUACUUAUUUUGUAACUCACCAAUCUGGGCACAGGAGUUAGGCAAGAUUUAGUAGGCCACUCCCUGCCUGCAAAAUCUCACUCGCACUAAUUGAAAUCAGUAGACUGGAUCUCUCUGUGCCUGUGCAGUUGGUGCCUUGAAACAGAAGCAUCUCACAUAAUAUAGAUUGCUCCAAGAAGUUUGCACUACAGGUUUAGGAAGUGAAAUUUUAGGGUUUUAUUAGUAUUUAUUAGCCUGUAACUUAGAGAUUCACCGCCCCUCUCCUGACUCAAAAACCCUCAGCAUGGUGUAAAAUGUGAAGUCCAGUGAGUAAUGUCACAGUGGCUCCAUUCAUAUUUUAAUGCAGUUUGUCCCUUGUUUUCUAUUACAGGCCUUCAUAGCGUGUUUGUGUAAAGGAAGAGACAUUUUUUAAUCACAUUUACACGGGGCACAUGCUUGUCCAUUAUUACCAUUCAAAAAUGUGCUUCAAAAUAAAGGUAUUAUACAUAAACAGCAGUAAAGAGCCUUUUUAAGAAAAGUUGCUAUUGGUCAAAUUUAUGGUCACUAUAUAGCAAGUUUCUGAGUUAUAUGUGGCAAAAUUACACAUUUUAGACUUGUUGGGCAUUUAGAUUUUCAUAUUAAAAUUAGUUCUAAUGUCAAGAUUUCUAAGAAAAAACAUGACUGAAAAACAGUUGAGUUAACAAAUAAAACUUGACCUCUUAUUGAGGCCAGAUUCAGAAAGUUACAAAAGGGCACAAGGCCAAGAAACAAGAAUACACAAUGCUGACAUAAGAUCUAACAAAAGACAAAGGGAGACUGGAACUAAAUAUACACAGAAGGGUAAUCAGGGUAGAGUGGAGACUAUUGGAAAAUAAAACUAACCAAAAGGCACUAGAAACUUAGCUUAAAGUAAAACAGAGUGACUAACUUUAAGCAAGGGAAAAACACAGGAGGACAAAAGAAAACACAGAGGAGAACAUGAUUAACUACUAAAUUAUAAGUAGAACUGAAUACUCAAAAUACUAGAAAUACCUCUGAGCUGAAGAGUAAAAAAAAAAACCCUCUGAAAACAGAAGACAGUUAAUAUCAUUCAUAACCAAAAACCAAGGUAAAGCCAAAAUUCAUAGACCAUGGACAUUUAACCUCAUUCAUAUAUUCAGGCUCACAUAAAUGUAUGCAUGCAGAAUCACAGGAAAGGGCAAGAUUUCAGUUUUCCACAAAUCUCAAGUGUGUUGACUGAUCACAUUUGAGAUUUGACAAGUGCCACACUUGGAAGAUAGUCAGUGCUCUGCGCUUCAUACUGGAAUGAUGUACAUUCCCCCAGUAAGGUGGUUUCAUUUAGAUUGUGAUUUAGGGUUGCAAGGACUGGAUUUCAGCUGCUGGGUUUCAGUGUUUUUUCAUUCACUAUUAUAGGAAGCAGGUACAGGAGUGGCUCAAAGGUUUCGAGAAAAGGUGUAUUUGAAUUAUGUCUCAGAAGGAGGGUUUUUUUUUUUCUUCAUGGCAUCGUGUUAUCAACAGUCAACUAUCGUCAUAGAAAAGACAGGCCGACUAGAUCAUGUCUCAGUCCUUACUGUUUCUUUUUAAUUAGAUUGAAAAAAGAAGACAAAAAGCAUAGUUAACAGGAAGUUUCUGCUAAACUGCUCAACAGCCAUGAGUUUGGCUGCUUAUGAACAUAUCAGCCUUUUGUGGGUAACUCUCAUGCAUUUUCUCAACCAAUCAUAUGUCAUUCAUUAGUAUCCUUCAGUCUCAUUAGAGUUACUCCAACUGCCUCAAAGUUAAAAUUAGUUAAAGUAAAGUGCUCACCUUGUUCUUGUCACCAGAUAGCAGGUACUUAGUUUUUGUUUUUUUGUCCCCUGUCAUUGCCAGAAGUCUCUGGUCACCCCACUGCUGCUGUUCCCUUCCUGUCUGUAUUCA
ensembl:lncRNA